CUGGCCCGCCCGUUCCCUAGACCUGAAUCCAAUUGAGCACAUCUGAGACAUGUCUCGCUCCAUCCACAAACGCCACGUUGCCCCACAGACUGUCCAGGAGUUGGCAGAUGCUUUAGUCCAGGUGUGGGAGGAGAUCCCUCAGGAGACCACCCGCCACCUCAUCAGGUGCAUGCCCAGGCAUUGUAGGGAGGUCAUACAGGCACGUGGAGGCCACACACACUACUGAGCCUCAUUUUGACUUGUUUUAAGGACAUUACAUCAAAGUUGGAUCAGCCUGUAGUGUGGUUUUCCACUUUAAUUUUGAGUGUGACUCCAAAUCCAGACCUCCAUGGGUUGAUAAAUUUGAUUUCCAUUGAUAACUUUUGUGUGAUUUUUUUUGUCAGAACAUUCAACUAUGUAAAGAAAAAAGUAUUUAAUAAGAAUAUUUCAUUCAUUCAGAUCUAGGAUGUGUUAUUUUAGUGUUCCCUUUAUUUUUUGAGCAGUGUAUAUAGGUCAAGUUACUCCUUGCAUAUAUUUUUUCUAUUCCCUGCUUUGUAUUGUUUUUAGACCAAAUGACGACAGCCACACGUAAUCAGGUCCUGUCACUGUAUAUUAGGGUAUUUCGGAUCGCCUGGGGCGCAGUCCACACUCCCACAAGACACUGUGAGUGACAGAAGGUACAUUGUCCAGGAGGCCCAGACCCUCUUCAGACAGAACCAACAGGCAAAAAGACAGACCCUAUGUUUGUCUGUGUAGCUCGGUAUCACCUGUAUCUGUUUGAUGAAUCUGUUGCUCUGUGUAUCCCUUUCAGUUGACAGAUCAGGAAUCAAUAAAGAGGUGCUUAGCAGAAUGUGAGACAAGGAUAGAAAUUGGUCUUCAUUACAGGAAUCCCUAUCCAAGACUUAUCUACCUGCUUAUAAUGGGACCGGCAACCCAGAAAGGCAGGAAGCUGAAAGCACAGCAACGCAUGAGGAAGCAGGCCAGCCAGUUUACUUACAGUCACAUGAGGACAGCUGAUACUACAGCUGAUACUAGAUGAACUCUAUAUUCUCGUGAAAGGGUUGAUGUUACCAAGGACAGGAGGAAAGUUACUGGCUAAUCUCAGGAGUUGAGUUGAAAAUCCAUCUUAUAUAUUGGAGAAAAAAGUCAUUAAUUUCCAAGUAUGUUUAUACAUGUGAUUCCUCACAAAAGCUGCUAUGUGGAUGUCAGCAUUGUCUGUCCUGUAAGAUAAGUAGCCAUAAAGAUUUGUGAUACUAUUUUGAAUAUAUUUAUCAUUUCAA